rnacentral:rRNA from 1 species
AACGAACGCUGGCGGCAGGCUUAACACAUGCAAGUCGAGCGCCCCGCAAGGGGAGCGGCAGACGGGUGAGUAACGCGUGGGAAUCUACCCAUCCCUACGGAACAACUCCGGGAAACUGGAGCUAAUACCGUAUACGCCCUUCGGGGGAAAGAUUUAUCGGGGAUGGAUGAGCCCGCGUUGGAUUUGCUAGUUGGUGGGGUGAAGGCCUACCAAGGCGACGAUCCAUAGCUGGUCUGAGAGGAUGAUCAGCCACAUUGGGACUGAGACACGGCCCAAACUCCUACGGGAGGCAGCAGUGGGGAAUAUUGGACAAUGGGCGCAAGCUUGAUCCAGCCAUGCCGCGUGAGUGAUGAAGGCCUUAGGGUUGUAAAGCUCUUUCACCGGAGAAGAUAAUGACGGUAUCCGGAGAAGAAGCCCCGGCUAACUUCGUGCCAGCCGCCGCAGUAA